GCCCGUGUAGACGAGUGGCACGUCACCCUCUAUCCGUGUAUACUGCUGCCAAAGAAGAGUAACUUUCUAUACGAGGGAGUUGGAGGUUCGAGUCCUCCCCUGGGCG